GACGAACGCUGGCGGCGUGCCUAAUACAUGCAAGUAGAACGCUGAAGGAGGAGCUUGCUUCUCUGGAUGAGUUGCGAACGGGUGCGUAACGCGUAGGUAACCUGCCUGGUAGCGGGGGAUAACUAUUGGAAACGAUAGCUAAUACCGCAUAAGAGUAGAUGUUGCAUGACAUUUGCUUAAACGGUGCAAUUGCAUCACUACCAUAUGGACCUGCGUUGUAUUCGCUAGUUGGUGGGGUAACGGCUCACCAAGGCGACGAUACAUAUCCGACCUGAGAGGGGGAUCGGCCACACUGGGACUGAGACAAGGCCCAGAAUCCUACGGGAGGCAGCAGUAGGGAAUCUUCGGCAAUGGACGGAAGUCUGACCGAGGAACGCCGCGUGAGUGAAGAAGGUUUUCGGAUCGUAAAGCUCUGUUGUAAGGGAAGAACGAGUGUGAGAGUGGAAAGUUCACACUGUGACGGUAUCUUACCAGAAAGGGACGGCUAACUACGUG
rnacentral:rRNA from 1 species